rnacentral:rRNA from 1 species
AAACGACUCUCGGCAACGGAUAUCUCGGCUCUCGCAUCGAUGAAGAACGUAGCGAAAUGCGAUACUUGGUGUGAAUUGCAGAAUCCCGUGAACCAUCGAGUCUUUGAACGCAAGUUGCGCCUGAAGCCAUUAGGCUAAAGGCACGUCUGCCUGGGCGUCACGCA